rnacentral:rRNA from 1 species
AUGUCCGGGCGCGGCAAGGGCGGGAAGGGACUCGGCAAGGGGGGCGCCAAGCGCCACCGGAAGGUGCUGCGGGACAACAUCCAGGGCAUCACCAAGCCGGCGAUCCGGCGGCUGGCGCGGAGGGGUGGCGUGAAGCGCAUCUCGGGGCUCAUCUACGAGGAGACCCGCGGCGUGCUCAAGAUCUUCCUCGAGAACGUCAUCCGCGACGCCGUCACCUACACCGAGCACGCCCGCCGCAAGACCGUCACCGCCAUGGACGUCGUCUACGCGCUCAAGCGCCAGGGCCGCACCCUCUACGGCUUCGGCGGCUAG